CUGCUGAUUUUCCAUUACCAACACCUCCCUCUCUGUUCCCUCUGAGAGAUCAGCCCUGGAAAUGGAGGUGAGUGUGGCCAUCCUUCAUGAUGACACUAUCUUCUCCUCCUCCAAAGUGGGGGCUAGCAGAGCAGGGGGUGGGUGGUUGGCAGAGCAGGGUGGCACAGAGGACAGGCAGGUUAGCGCAAGAAGGGAAUGCCUAGGAAACUCAUCAGAAGCCACUGUAGUCCUUGCUCCUUCUGAAUGAGGAGGAUGGGCGAGGACGGAGAGCAGCUAUCUCUAACCCAUUACCCACUUGGGCAGUAGAAGUAUGUGAAAUACACCCUUUCCCCUGAGACGAAGGCGCACACUCCAAGGUGCUUUCAACAGGGAAAUGGUAGUAGCAGUCUUCAGAACACGGGAGCAGAGACAAAUCAAGGGUCCACCAACAGAUUCAAGAAUAAGCCAAAUGUGGUCCAGCCUUAUCGUGAAAUAUUACCCACCCAGGAAAAGGGGAAUCUUGGUACUUGCCGCAGUGCAGGCUGUGGAUUCGGUGACAAACCAGGACGGCAGCAUCUGAGGACAAGCAUCGUGGAGGCACUUUUGACAGGGACUUGUGAUUAACAGUGUUCCAAGGACAGUAGCACUCAGGAUGGGACAUGCUGGUCACCACAGCGCUGGAAGACGAGAAAAGACGUAAGACAGAAUCGCCCUUAUUUUCCACCUGGGGCACUUGGCAUUUGAGAGUGAGCAUCGUCUGUCUCGGGACCCAUGUUAAGAAGUGAUCUAGGGCUGGGGUGUGGCCCAGUGGCGGAGCCUAGUCUAGCCUGGGCCAAGCCCUGGGUUCAACCCCCAGGACCAUGGGGGUUGGAAAAAAAAAAAAAGAAAUCCAAAGUCCCCUUUGCUUUGUGUAUAUUUUAAUUUACAUAA